rnacentral:rRNA from 2 species
GUCAGCGGUCACAGCAGGGGUGGCACGCCCGGAACCGUUCCGAACCCGGAAGCUAAGCCCCCGAGCGCCGAUGGUACUGCGGGGUCAGCCCGUGGGAGAGCAGGACGCCGCUGACC